UCGGUUAGUCGGCACGAGCGCACCUCAUCUUCAGUUACUAACAGGUUAAGCUGAGGACUCUGGAGAAACUGCCGUUGGAAAAGCGGAGGAAGGCGAGGAUGACGUCAAGUCCUCAUGGCCCUUAUGGGCUGGGCUACACACGUGCUACAAUGGUAAUUACAAUAGGUCGCGAAAAGGCAACUUUGAGCUAAUCUUCAAAAAUUAUCUUAGUUCAGAUUGCUCUCUGCAACUCGAGAGCACGAAGUUGGAAUUGCUAGUAAUCGUGGAUCAGCAUGCCACGGUGAAUACGUUCCCGGGUCUUGUACACACCGCCCGUCACACCAUGGGAGUUGGUUUUACCUGAAGCCGAUUUUUAAUCGUCCACGGUAAGGUCAGCGACUGGGGUGAAGUCGUAACAAGGUAGCCGUAGGGGAACCUGCGGCUGGAACACCUCCUUUCU
rnacentral:rRNA from 1 species